GACGUAGGGCGCGAGCGUUGUCCGGAUUUAUUGGGCGUAAAGAGCUCGUAGGCGGUCUGUCGCGUCUGCUGUGAAAUCCCGAGGCUCAACCUCGGGCUUGCAGUGGGUACGGGCAGGCUAGAGUGCGGUAGGGGAGAAUGGAACUCCUGGUGUAGCGGUGGAAUGCGCAGAUAUCAGGAGGAACACCGAUGGCGAAGGCAGGUCACUGGGCCGCAACUGACGCUGAGGAGCGAAAGCAUGGGGAGCGAACAGG
rnacentral:rRNA from 1 species